rnacentral:lncRNA from 1 species
GCGGAAUCUUCCGAACAUGUAUAUUAUUUAUAAAUUUGAUUUCCUUCUUUAAAUGCACAUUUUCUUUAUGUAAGUACCUAAAAAAAAAUGCAGGCUUAUAUACACUUUUUGUGAGACCCCAGAUAGUCCUAUACAUUCAUACAUUCACCAUUCACACCGAGUUUUACAUUCGAUGUUUAAACAGAAGUCCAUGAAAAAUCUUUUGAAAACUGUUUCGUACGCGAAAACUUUUAUCUUUUAUAGAAGCUACCACGAGGGGUAGAAAACCUUUUAUUUUACCAAAUCCAGAAAUCCUUUUAAUACGUUCAUGAAAGUCCAUAUAUUCCAAUGUAAUAAAAAUACCGAACCAUAUAAACUGACUAAGCUAUAACAACAGAUUAGUAGGGAUAAAACUAAACCGAUAACCUGGGUCGGAAGCUCUAUCGACCGCUACGAACGUACCUCACGUCUCGUCCCAUAACUCAACGUCUGCAGUACCUGAAAAAUAGUGGGGGAGGUGAGAACAUGUAAACAUGUCUCCCCUCCCAGUGNCGUUGCCUACCUUGCUAUUAAUUGUAUGCUUGAGAAAAUAUACUGAAUAUUUUUAAAGUAAAAAAUUAUUAUUCAUAUAAAAUUUUAAUUUUUGUUAUAUAUGAUUGGAUAGUUUAAUCAAAUAUUUAUCUAUAUAAUUUAUUUAUUUUUGACUGCAUAAAUGAAAAUGAAUAAUAAGGAGAUUGAAGGCGAAAAAAAAGACAUGUGAGGCUGAAAAGAUUAGAUAUUCAACUCAUAAAUUAUUCUUUUCAUAUUAUAAUAUUAUAUUUUAUAUACCUAUUUUGUACUUUGAGCUAUUAGAUAUAUUUUUGUAUCAAAUUAUAGAUAAUAUUCUAUACAAAUUAAACUAUUGAUCGUAUGAUGUUGAGAAUUUCAAGCGGCUCGUUUAGGGCUCGAGCUCGCUCGACUCGAAAUUAGGCUC